rnacentral:rRNA from 1 species
GAUGAACGCUGGCGGCGUGCCUAAUACAUGCAAGUCGAGCGAACGGACGAGAAGCUUGCUUCUCUGAUGUUAGCGGCGGACGGGUGAGUAACACGUGGAUAACCUACCUAUAAGACUGGGAUAACUUCGGGAAACCGGAGCUAAUACCGGAUAAUAUUUUGAACCGCAUGGUUCAAAAGUGAAAGACGGUCUUGCUGUCACUUAUAGAUGGAUCCGCGCUGCAUUAGCUAGUUGGUAAGGUAACGGCUUACCAAGGCAACGAUGCAUAGCCGACCUGAGAGGGUGAUCGGCCACACUGGAACUGAGACACGGUCCAGACUCCUACGGGAGGCAGCAGUAGGGAAUCUUCCGCAAUGGGCGAAAGCCUGACGGAGCAACGCCGCGUGAGUGAUGAAGGUCUUCGGAUCGUAAAACUCUAUUAUUAGGGAAGAACAUAUGUGUAAGUAACUGUGCACAUCUUGACGGUACCUAAUCAGAAAGCCACGGCUAACUACGUGCCAGCAGCCGCGGUAAUACGUAGGUGGCAAGCGUUAUCCGGAAUUAUUGGGCGUAAAGCGCGCGUAGGCGGUUUUUUAAGUCUGAUGUGAAAGCCCACGGCUCAACCGUGGAGGGUCAUUGGAAACUGGAAAACUUGAGUGCAGAAGAGGAAAGUGGGAUUCCAUGUGUAGCGGUGAAAUGCGCAGAGAUAUGGAGGAACACCAGCGGCGAAGGCGACUUUCUGGUCUGUAACUGACGCUGAUGUGCGAAAGCGUGGGGAUCAAACAGGAUUAGAUACCCUGGUAGUCCACGCCGUAAACGAUGAGUGCUAAGUGUUAGGGGGUUUCCGCCCCUUAGUGCUGCAGCUAACGCAUUAAGCACUCCGCCUGGGGAGUACGACCGCAAGGUUGAAACUCAAAGGAAUUGACGGGGACCCGCACAAGCGGUGGAGCAUGUGGUUUAAUUCGAAGCAACGCGGAGAACCUUACCAAAUCUUGACAUCCUUUGACAACUCUAGAGAUAGAGCCUUCCUCUUCGGGGGACAAAGUGACAGGUGGUGCAUGGUUGUCGUCAGCUCGUGUCGUGAGAUGUUGGGUUAAGUCCCGCAACGAGCGCAACCCUUAAGCUUAGUUGCCAUCAUUAAGUUGGGCACUCUAAGUUGACUGCCGGUGACAAACCGGAGGAAGGUGGGGAUGACGUCAAAUCAUCAUGCCCCUUAUGAUUUGGGCUACACACGUGCUACAAUGGACAAUACAAAGGGCAGCGAAACCGCGAGGUCAAGCAAAUCCCAUAAAGUUGUUCUCAGUUCGGAUUGUAGUCUGCAACUCGACUACAUGAAGCUGGAAUCGCUAGUAAUCGUAGAUCAGCAUGCUACGGUGAAUACGUUCCCGGGUCU